UACGUAGGGUGCGAGCGUUGUCCGAAAUUAUUGGGCGUAAAGCGCGUGUAGGCGGCCCUGCAAGUCGGGUGUGAAAUCCCACGGCUCAACCGUGGAAAGUGCACUCGAAACUGCAGGGCUAGAGUCCUGGAGAGGAAGGUGGAAUGCUUGGUGUAGAGGUGAAAUUCGUAGAUAUCAAGCGGAACACCGGUGGCGAAGGCGGCCUUCUGGACAGUGACUGACGCUGAGACGGCGAAAAGCG
rnacentral:rRNA from 1 species